CUCUGUAGGAUUAUUCCUUAAGGUAAAUUUGGAAUUAACUUGGUAAUUUCCAAUCCAUAGUGAUAACCGCAGCCCCUGGGAAAUCCCCAUAGGUGCAUGGUUGUACAAGUUUGCAUAUAAAUCCGAAUUGGGGGUAAAAUUCAAAUAUAUUGAAUUAUAAGGCCCCGAAUCAAUAAUUAAUUAGGGAUGACCUACAGAGUAGUCCAAAUUUUUUUGGUUAGACAUAAAUUGAACUAACAGCAUUAACUGUUCAUGUACACAAUAUAGUUGUUAACAAUAUCUUGAUCGUGAAACAGACAUACAAUGUUAAUGAUAUAUAAUAAUGGAAUUGCCACUACAAUCUUUAAUUUGCACACAAUCAAUAAGCUUACUAUAUAAACACAAGACUAUUUAUUCACCUUAGCCGGAUUGAUUUACAUUUCGAUUCUAAACAAUCAUUAAAAUCACACCCGACAAAUACUGUGGGAAACUUAUUGGAUAAAGCGGGCGGAACCCAUAGACAACCUGUAGGCCAGGGAACCCAGUAGGUCAGAUGUGGAGACCUCUGAGAGAGCCCCGCUGGUCAGAAGGCUGAUCCCCAAGAUUAAAGUAACAAUCAGGAAAAAACCUGUGGGAAACCCAGCAGGUCAGAUUGGCAAAGCCUAGGACAUGCAGGAUAAUACUAGACCCAGUGGAGACCCUAACAUGUCAGAUGGGCAAAGCCCAAAUUUAAGGUAAAUAUGGAUGAAAGCCUGUGGGGAACCCAGCAGGUUAGAUGGGCGGAGCCCACGACAUGCAGGAUGGCACUAACCUGUGGUGCACCAAUCAUGUCAAAUUGGCAAAUCAUAAACUAAA